AUUGAACGCUGGCGGCAGGCCUAACACAUGCAAGUCGAGCGGAUGAAGGGAGCUUGCUCCUGGAUUCAGCGGCGGACGGGUGAGUAAUGCCUAGGAAUCUGCCUGGUAGUGGGGGAUAACGUCCGGAAACGGGCGCUAAUACCGCAUACGUCCUGAGGGAGAAAGUGGGGGAUCUUCGGACCUCACGCUAUCAGAUGAGCCUAGGUCGGAUUAGCUAGUUGGUGGGGUAAAGGCCUACCAAGGCGACGAUCCGUAGCUGGUCUGAGAGGAUGAUCAGGCACACUGGAACUGAGACACGGUCCAGACUCCUACGGGAGGCAGCAGUGGGGAAUAUUGGACAAUGGGCGAAAGCCUGAUCCAGCCAUGCCGCGUGUGUGAAGAAGGUCUUCGGAUUGUAAAGCACUUUAAGUUGGGAGGAAGGGAAGUAAGUUAAUACCUUGCUGUUUUGACGUUACCAACAGAAUAAGCACCGGCUAACUUCGUG
rnacentral:rRNA from 1 species